rnacentral:lncRNA from 1 species
AUACAUAGAAAUGAAUCGCUUUGCUCUAUACUUGAAACACUGUAAAUGAACUAAACUUCAAUUAAAAGUAAAAAUAAAAAUUUUAAUAAAACCUAAUAAAAUAUCCAGAGUCCAUGUGCUUAACUACAACACUAAAAAACGGGCAAUAUAAGGAAUGUUUUAAAGGCAAGAGAGGGCCCUUUCUCAAGAAGUAAGGAGCGUAUAUGAAUAGGAAUAACCUGAGGGGAAUCACCAGUGACAGCUAAAUGAAGGGUGUAGUUGGACUAACCAGCAGCCCUGCUCUGUUUCAGUCCUCUGCUAUAACUUAUCUUAGGCAGAUAAGACAAUGAGAAUUUUUUCGUUACAUUUUCAAGCUCCUCCGAGCCCUGGAAAAUGUUUGCCCAUUUCUCCAGACCAUAACAAUGGACUUUUCUUUCCAUGUAGAGGAACAAAUCAGUAAAAAUCUUAUUAAGCAAGUACAUCUGAGCACCCAGGUUGCUUCCUGCUAUGAGCCUUGCAAUAAGAGAUAGAAGCCUCUACAGGUAAGCCUCAGCAAGUCCUUUGUCUGCAAUGGAGCUUCCUCUUCUGGAACACAAAUACUGUUUUGUUUUGUUUUGUUUUCCUUAAACAAUCAACUUUUGUCCUUUCCAGGCAGAGCUCCUACACAGCCCUCCCAGUUCCUCUUUCUCUAACUGGAUUGUGGGAGAAUUGCUCUUCUUGGAAAUCCAUUAGGGACCUCCCCUGGAGAAAAACCUGUUUCUUGGGGAUCAAAGUGGUUAGUUACUUUCUUUACCUGGAUCCAAGGGAGGAGUAGGGUCAUGUGGACACAGGUAUAAAACCACCAGGCUCACCAAAUGAGGCAGUACAGGGUGCUCCACUAGAUCAAAGGAGGCUCCUCUGGAAAACCUGGCCAUGGGGUUUACAGCUUAAGAAGUGGCUUUGCAACCAAAUUCAGAAUAAUGUGGCAAAUUCUUCAGGACUUCAGACACAGUUUUUAAGCUCCCCCAUGGCAUGGGAAGAAAAAAGGAAAGAGUGGGGAAGGUUCAAGUGUCAAAGAAACAUAAAAAGGAUCUAAGUCACAUCACCUUAUACAGUGUUUCAAAUAAUAAGAAAGUGUAUAAGGAAGAAAGUAGUCAGAAAGACUGUUUAAGGAUUUGAGGAACUUUUAUAAAGUUGGCUUUCAUACUUUUGUUGGGUGGGUUCAUGGCAUUAUGGUUAUGUGAGAGAAUAUUUUCUUCUUUUUAGGUGCCUCAUGAAGUACUUCAUGGCAUUAUGACUCAAACACUUGGAUUUGCUUGAAUGCUUUGACAUAUUUUAGCAUUAAAAAAGGAAAGACGAUUGAUGAAACAAUUAUGGCAAAGUGUUGAUGGCUACUGAGGCGGAAUACCUGGUACCUAGGGGGUUGUUAUACUCUAUUUUGUAACAUUUGGAAUUUUUAUAAAAACAAUUUAAUAAGGGAAAAUUAAAUACUUAUAUAAAAACAUGGGACUAAGUUAUGGGAUAAAGAAAGUGUUGGAGUUCCCGUCAUGGCUCAGUGGUUAACGAAUCCAACUAAGAACCACGAGGCUGCAGUUCGAACCCUGGCCUUGCUCAGUGUGUUAAGAAUCCGGCAUUGCCUUGAGCUGUGGUGUAGGUUGCAGACAGGGCUCAGAUCUAGCAUUGCUGCGGCUCUGGCGUAGGCCGGUGGCUACAAUUCUGAUUAGACCCCUAGCCUGGGAACAUCCAUAUGCGCCAGGUGUGGCCCUAAAAGGACCAAAAAAAAAAAAAAAAAAAAGACAAAAAAAAAAGUAUUGUAUAUUGCUCCAUCUCCUCUUUUCAAGAGGACUGUUUGUUGCGCCAGGCAGGUUGGCCAGUAGAGGGCAUUGUAUAGCGUGGUUCCUGCUGGCCUAUAAAAGAUUUCAGGAUUUUCUUUUCUUUCUUUUCUUUUUCCUUCUCUCUCUCUCUCUCUCUUUUUUUUUUUUUUUUUUUUUUUUUUUUUUGUCAUUUUAGGGCGGCACCCGCAGCAUAUUGAGGUUUCCAUGCUGGGGGUCCAAUCGGAGCUGUAGCCACCAGCCUACUCUAGAUCCACAGCAAUGUGGGAUCUGAGCCGUGUCUGUCUGCAAUCUACAACAUAGCUCAGGGCAACCCUGGAUCUUUAAACCACUGAGUAAGGCCAGGGAUCGAACUUGCGACCUCAGAAUGCCAGUCUGUCCUCAGGAUGCCAGUCUGGUUUGUUAAUUGCUGAGCCAGGACGGGACCUCUGGAUUUCAUGAUUUUCAUAGUCCAUAUUAGCAGCAAAGACAGACACAUCAGCAACCUGGUCUUCCUAUUAGCUGAUGUCAUGUCUGCCAGCUCCUAUUUUCAUUUCUUCAGAUAUAAAAGGAUUCUUGCUGUUAUGAAAAUUACCAAACGCACACUCAAGCAGAGGUGGGUACAGUAAACCUGCACAUUCCCCAUCACUGCUCACCUUCAACAAUUCCCAGCUUUCUGCCUUUCUGGUUUCAUGUACCCACUGGCCCUUCCACAACUAUUAUUUAAAAGAGUAUUUUUAAAAAAAAUAAAAGAGUACUUUAAAGGAAAUCCCUGAUAUCACAUCAUCUAACCUAUAAAUACUUGCAUAAGAAUCUCUAUCAAGUUAGAACCCUUUCGAAAAACAACCUUCAUGCCCUACUCACACAAAAUUGAAGUCAUAAGCAUCUAUAUAAUUUUUUUUUCCUCACCUCAAGUUGCUGUUAGCUGUGGCCUAUGUCACAGAGGUUGCUGGAUCCACCUUUGCCUUGGCUGUGGCCUAGGACUCAGCUGCAGCUCCGAACCGAACCCUAGCUGGCAAACUUCCACAUAUCACAGGUGCGGCCAUAGAAAGAAACAAAAAUUGCAGGAGCAGAGAGGUCUCUAUCCCAGGACCUUUGGCAAAGGAGCCUCUGUGACACACGCCCCAAAGAGAGCAAGACCAGCUUUGCAGGCACCUGGUUGACUUCAACUACAGGUGAGUGUGCUGGUUAAUUUCUUGUGUUAACUUGAACCAGGCUGAGGGAUGCACAGAGAGCAUUUCCAGGUGUGACUUCAAGGGUGUUUAUGAAAGAGAUCAGGAUUCAGUUGGCAGACUAAGUAAAGAAGAGAAGGAGAAGGAGAAACAAAGAAGACAAGAAGAAAGGAAGAAGAAGGAAGAAGAAGGGAGAAGGGAGAAGGAAGAAGGAGAAGGAGAAGAAGAAGAAGCAGCAGCAGCAGCCCCUCCCCACUGGGGGUGGGCAUCAUCAUCCAAUCCCUUGAGGGCCUGACGAUAACAACAAGGUUGGGGAAGGGUGAAUUCUUACCCUCUGCUUCAGCUGGAAAAGCAUCUUCUCCUGUCCCCAGACAGCAGCUUCCAUGGACCUUCACAUUCAGACCAGGACUCACACUAUUGGCUCCCUGGUUCUAGCCCUUUUUCCGUGGACUGGAACUACACCACUCUUUUUCCUGGACCUCCAGCUUGCAGACUGUGUGAGCUAAUCAGUCAUGAGAAGUCUUUCCAUUUUUCUAGAUUGAUCCUCUUGGUUCUAGUUCUCCAAAUGAUACAGUGAGGUUCCAGGCCACCUGGGCCCAUCAGCCUGAAAGGUGACUCAGGAGUACCACAGGAGAUUGUUGCCUAAACAGAAGCCCUGCCCAACCCUGGGUUUUGUCUUGUGCCCCAUCAUGUUAGAAAAAAUACUCAAGCUUCCUUGGCCUCUUCAUAAAUGAAGGUCACCAAAAUUGGGUGCAAAGGCUGUGAGGGACUCACAUGAACAACUGUCACAGAAACAGAGCUGUGAAUAAGAGGUGUGAUGAAGCACCUCUUCAAAUGGCUCUUUUGCUUUCCCUGGGAAGCCCAGUCCUCGAACAGAUGGAGGGCACCCGCCACCCCCAUGCUGGUUAGAGCCAUGCGGCAUGCAGCCCACUCUGCCCCUCUCUGCCAUGGACCCUCUCCAGCACUGUCCAUCACAUGUCACUGAGCACGCAGUGAUGCCCUCAUCGCUCAUGGUCCCCGGGACUGGUAUUCAUCCCUUCUCCACUGGCCCAAAGACCAACACACCUCAAAACCGACCCCGUUAAGACAGCCCAGCACCACUUGAUACCAAGGUGGUAGCCUUUACCUUUUGAAGCUGCUUCAUUAUGUUUUGAAGGAAAGUCCUGAUGCCAGUCUGAUGGCACUGGGGAUCACAUCGUGCAAGGGUAUGUGUAUGGAAGGUCUUUGAAAACUAAAACAUGCUAUGGGAGAGCAAUCUAAGACAUCAAAGUGGGAGGGGUCAAGUUGAUGUGUAGGACACAAUAAGAGAAAAGCUCGAAUGAGCAGGAAGUCUCUGUGUUUGAUCUGGCUGCCGAAAUUUCUUAUUGUAAUGAGUAGAUGAAAAGGGCAUUAAAAGUCAGUCCACAAACAUAAGCAAAACAUUCUCUGACAUAAAUUGUACCAAUACUUUCUUAGGACAGUCUCCUUAGGCAAUAAAAAUAAAAGCAAAAAUAAAUAAUAAAAUUUACAAGCUUUUGCACAGCAAAGGAAACUGGAAACAAAAGGAAAAAAAAAA